CCUGUCCAUUCUCAAUAUGAAAAGCGAGAUGAUGUCAUAUUGUCACUUUCACCAUCGACACUGGAGAGGAGAACACUUUGGGAGCUCUUGGACUAGCUGGAAAUACAAUCCCGAGUGACGGAGCUCAUCAGAGACAACAGCAAUGUGCAGCCUGGCUUUCCUCGUCGUGUCCGCCUGCACCUUGAUCGGGGGUCUCUCAGUCUGCUGCCCUCAAAGAAGAUACCACGUCGUCAGAGAUGUAAUGACCUGGGACCAAGCUCGCCAACACUGUCAAAGUAAUUUCACUGAUCUGGUUAGUGUUCCCAGUGAAGAGGAAAUGCUGGCAGUCAAGGCACUGAUUUCCCGGGUCUCAGAUUACAUGUUUUGGUUGGGUCUGCGCAGAAACACAGUCAGCUCGCCUUGGGAAUGGUCAACCGGUGUGGCCUUUCAAUACAGUAAAUGGCUGAGUUUGGAACCAGAUGCUAAUGGAGAGUGUGGAGCCAUGAUUCCCACCGGAGAGUGGGGAGCUGAACCUUGUGCUAACCUUCACAGCUUCGUCUGCUUGGCAGGUAAGGAGAAUUGAUUUCUGAACAGAGUACCCAGCUUGCUAGUUAUUUUGA